GUGGACACGGCAACCAAGCCGCGACGAUGUCACCUAACGUACCCCUACUCGUGCAGGUUGGUGACUGGAAAUAUGGUUUCCGUAGUGACGAUCCUUGCUUAAUAGUGUUGCCGUCUCCACACACCAUUCUAAACUGCAUAAGUGACUGUUUUGCGCUAGCGGGUCUGUUGCUUUCACUGUCGGGAGAUAUCGAGCAAAACCCUGGGCCUAUUACGGAUGCAAUGUUUAAGGAACUGCUAGAAACGCAAAAAACUAUCUUGUCUAAAA